ACGAACGCUGGCGGCAGGCCUAACACAUGCAAGUCGAGCGCCCCCGCAAGGGGGAGCGGCGGACGGGUGAGUAACGCGUGGGAAUUUUCCUCAAGGUACGGAACAACUCAGGGAAACUUGGGCUAAUACCGUAUGAUGUCUAGCGACCAAAGAUUUAUCGCCUUGGGAUAAGCCCGCGUCAGAUUAGGUAGUUGGUGGGGUAACGGCCUACCAAGCCUGCGAUCUGUAGCUGGUCUGAGAGGACGAUCAGCCACACUGGGACUGAGACACGGCCCAGACUCCUACGGGAGGCAGCAGUGGGGAAUCUUGCGCAAUGGGCGAAAGCCUGACGCAGCCAUGCCGCGUGAAUGAUGAAGGUCUUAGGAUUGUAAAGUUCUUUCGCUCGUGACGAUGAUGACGGUAACGAGAGAAGAAGCCCCGGCUAACUUCGU
rnacentral:rRNA from 1 species